rnacentral:rRNA from 1 species
CCUACGGGUGGCUGCAGUGGGGAAUAUUGCACAAUGGGCGCAAGCCUGAUGCAGCCAUGCCGCGUGUGUGAAGAAGGCCUUCGGGUUGUAAAGCACUUUCAGCGGGGAGGAAGGCGGUGAGGUUAAUAAACUCAUCGAUUGACGUUACCCGCAGAAGAAGCACCGGCUAACUCCGUGCCAGCAGCCGCGGUAAUACGGAGGGUGCAAGCGUUAAUCGGAAUUACUGGGCGUAAAGCGCACGCAGGCGGUCUGUCAAGUCGGAUGUGAAAUCCCCGGGCUCAACCUGGGAACUGCAUUCGAAACUGGCAGGCUAGAGGCUUGUAGAGGGGGGUAGAAUUCCAGGUGUAGCGGUGAAAUGCGUAGAGAUCUGGAGGAAUACCGGUGGCGAAGGCGGCCCCCUGGACAAAGACUGACGCUCAGGUGCGAAAGCGUGGGGAGCAAGCCGGAUUAGAUACCCGAGUAGUC